rnacentral:rRNA from 1 species
AUUGAACGCUGGCGGCAGGCCUAACACAUGCAAGUCGAACGGUAACAGGAAGCAGCUUGCUGCUUUGCUGACGAGUGGCGGACGGGUGAGGAAUGUCUGGGAAACUGCCCGAUGGAGGGGGAUAACUACUGGAAACGGUAGCUAAUACCGCAUAACGUCGCAAGACCAAAGAGGGGGACCUUAGGGCCUCUUGCCAUCGGAUGUGCCCAGAUGGGAUUAGCUAGUAGGUGGGGUACCGGCUCACCUAGGCGACGAUCCCUAGCUGGUCUGAGAGGAUGACCAGCCACACUGGAACUGAGACACGGUCCAGACUCCUACGGGAGGCAGCAGUGGGGAAUAUUGCACAAUGGGCGCAAGCCUGAUGCAGCCAUGCCGCGUGUAUGAAGAAGGCCUUCGGGUUGUAAAGUACUUUCAGCGGGGAGGAAGGGAGUAAAGUUAAUACCUUGGCUCAUUGACGUUACCCGCAGAAGAAGCACCGGCUAACUCCGUG